UUUUGGACGUGCAAUUCCCUUUUCUACCAGUAGGGGUAAAAAGAAAGGUUGUGAAAAAAGUCCACUUUCCCCCUCUACUGAUUGACACUGGUUUCAUGUCUCUGUCUCACUGCUGUAAAAAAGUUAUUACAAAAAGAAGGAUAAUUUUGGACAUGCAGUUCCCUAAUCAGCCACUUGUGGUAAAAUGAAAGGUUGUGAAAAAUGUCCACUCUCCCCCUCUAUUGAUUGACAGUGGUUUCAUGUCUCUGUCUCCCUGCUGUAGAAAGUUAUUACAAAAAGAAGGUUCAU